ACAAGCGCAGUAAGGGCAGAUGGUGGACACCUUGGCAGCUGGAAGCGAUGAAGGACGUGGCUAGCUGCGAUAAGCCUCGGGGAGCCGCUAAGCAGGCUUUGAUCCGGGGAUUUCCGAAUGGGAGUACCCGCCAUGGUGAAGCCAUGGCAGGGCGCGCUGAAACCAAAGUAGGCGCGUCCGGCGAACCCGGUGAAGUGAAACAUCUCAGUAACCGGAGGAAAAGAAAUCAAUCGAGAUUCCCUGAGUAGUGGCGAGCGAAACGGGAAGAGCCCAAACCGAAGGAGUGUAAGGCUGCAUCCGUUGCUUCUUCGGGGUUGUAAGUUGGGACCGUCCCAUCGAUGCAGAGGUGGGCAGGGUUAAACGCAAGGUCUAGCCGAACGGUCUGCAAAGUCUCUGGAAAGGACGACCGAAGAGGGUGAUAGUCCCGUAGGCGAAAGGCUGAGCUACCCUGGGUCCUGACUUGAGUAGCGUCGGACACGAGAAAUCCGGCGUGAAUCUGGGAGGACCACCUUCCAAGGCUAAAUAUUCCCAGCUGACCGAUAGCGAACUAGUACCGUGAGGGAAAGGUGAAAAGCACCCCGGGAGGGGAGUGAAAUAGAACUUGAAACCAUCUGCCUACAGACAGUGGGAGCACCAUUUUAACCGCUCCUUCGGGAGCAACCGAUCUGGUGUGACCGCAUGCCUUUUGCAGUAUGAGCCGGCGAGUUACGGUAUGUGGCGUUAGGUUAAGCCGAGUGAGGCGAAGCCGCAGCGAAAGCGAGUCUGAAUAGGGCGAUCAGUCACAUGCCGUAGACCCGAAGCCAGGUGAUCUAGCCAUGGGCAGGGUGAAGUAUACUUGAUCGUAUAUGGAGGCCCGAACCCACUAGCGUUGAAAAGCUAGGGGAUGACCUGUGGUUAGGGGCGAAAAACCAAUCGAACCUGGGGAUAUC
rnacentral:rRNA from 1 species